UUGAGAGCUCUGAAGACAGUACUCUCUUUGUCCUCACAGUAGGUAUUGCACAGGUGACUUAGUUGUGAGCUACUCCACACUGCCCAGCCAAAGUGCCUCAACUCUCACUUGGAAGGACAACAUCUGAGGUGCAAAGUUAGUUUAGUGUCUCCAUGUACACUGCAUUGGAAUCA
ensembl:misc_RNA